rnacentral:rRNA from 1 species
UACGUAGGAGGCAAGCGUUGUCCGGAAUUACUGGGCGUAAAGCGCGUGUAGGUGGUGGGACAAGUCUGCUGUGAAAGCGCCUGGCUUAACCGGGCGAGGUCGGCGGAAACUGUCGCACUCGAGGACGGUAGAGGGAGGUGGAAUUCCCGGUGUAGUGGUGAAAUGCGUAGAGAUCGGGAGGAACACCUGUGGCGAAGGCGGCCCCCUGGGCCGGCCCUGACACUGAGGCGCGAAAGCCAGGGGAGCAAACGGG